rnacentral:rRNA from 1 species
GUGUGCGUGGUAGCGGAGCAUUCUGUAAGCCUGCGAAGGAUAACCGUGAGGUUAUCUGGAGGUAUCAGAAGAGAGAAUGCUGACAUGAGUAACGAUAAAGAGUGUGAGAAACACUCUCGCCGAAAUCCCAAGGGUUCCUGCUUUAAGUUAAUCUGAGCAGGGUGAGCCGGCCCCUAAGGCGAGGGCGAAAGCCGUAGUCGAUGGGAACCACGUUAAUAUUCGUGGGCCAGUGGAUGUGUGACGGUGGCCGUAAGCAGUUCUUCCUUAUUGGAUUGGAAGGGCUGUGAAGGACAUCCAGGAAAUAGCCUCCACACAGACCGUACCCUAAACCGACACAGGUGGGAUGGUAGAGAAUACCAAGGCGCUUGAGAGAACUGUCCUGAAGGAACUCGGCAAAUUACUUGCGUAACUUCGGGAUAAGCAAGCCCUGUCAGAAGGCAACUUUUGACGGGGGGCACAGACCAGGGGGUAGCGACUGUUUAUCAAAAACACAGGGCUCUGCGAACACGCGAGUGGACGUAUAGGGUCUGACGCCUGCCCGGUGCCGGAAGGUUAAAGGGAGGAGUGCAAGCUCCGAACUGAAGCCCCGGUAAACGGCGGCCGUAACGAUAACGGUCCUAAGGUAGCGAAAUUCCUUGUCGGGUAAGUUCCGACCUGCACGAAUGGCGUAACGACUUCCCUACUGUCUCCAGGGCAGACUCAGUGAAAUUGAAUCCGAGGUGAAGAUGCCUCGUACCCGCAGUUAGACGGAAAGACCCUAUGAACCUUUACUAUAGCUUCACAGUGGCACCAUGAUUGUAACGUGUAGGAUAGGUGGGAGGCUUUGAAGCCGGGACGCUAGUUUCGGUGGAGCCAAAACUGAAAUACCACCCUUUGCUCUUGUGUUGUCUAACCGAGGUCCGUUAUCCGGAUCCGGGACCCUGUGUGGUGGGUAGUUUGACUGGGGCGGUCGCCUCCUAAAGAGUAACGGAGGCGCGCGAUGGUGAGCUCAGGACGGUCGGAAAUCGUCCAUUGAGUGCAAUGGCAUAAGCUCGCCUUACUGUGAGACUGACACGUCGAACAGUGUCGAAAGACGGUCAUAGUGGUCCGGUGGUUUCCGCAUGGAAGGGCCAUCGCUCAACGGAUAAAAGGUACUCUAGGGAUAACAGGCUGAUAGCGCCCAAGCGUUCAUAGCGACGGCGCUGUUUGGCACCUCGAUGUCGGCUCAUCUCAUCCUGGGGCUGUAGCAGGUCCCAAGGGUAUGGCUGUUCGCCAUUUAAAGAGGUACGUGAGCUGGGUUCAGAACGUCGUGAGACAGUUCGGUCCCUAUCUUCUGCGGGAGUUGGAGUCUUGAGAGGAUCUGCCCUUAGUACGAGAGGACCGGGGUGGACGUACCACUGGUGUACCAGUUGUUCCGCCAGGAGCAGCGCUGGGUAGCUAUGUACGGACUCGAUAACCGCUGAAAGCAUCUAAGCGGGAAACGAACCUCAAUACCAGGACUCCCUAUCAGAGCCGUUAUAGACUAUGACGUUGAUAGGCUGGAUGUGGAAGAGCGGUAACGCUUGAAGCUAACCAGUACUAAUUGCUC